rnacentral:ncRNA from 10 species
GUCGUUCAUCUCAAAUGAGACGGAAGUAGGUAAUAUAACCGAAGGAACGCACU